CGUUGGUUAGCUCAUUGGGUAGAGCAGCAAUCUAAUAAAUUGCAAGUAGCGGGUUCGAAUCCUGCACCAACACC
rnacentral:tRNA from 1 species